rnacentral:sRNA from 3 species
GGGCAAGAGGUUCGACUCGAGCGCAGCGAGAGAACGUUGCGUCAGCAACGGCCCGCAGGGCGAGCCACGCAGUGGCGAGUCAUCCUCUAUCACCGACCA